GCAUCUGUGACGUAGUGGUAGCACGCGCCUCCGUUAUGGAUGGAACACGGGUUCAAUUCCCGUCUGAGGUC